UGGAAAUGCCCACAUGAUGAGGAACUAAGACCUCCUGCCAAUGGCCACAACCCUUUUACACUCUUAAAAUUGAGGACCUUAAAGAGCUUCUGCUUAUUACAGUUUUUAUCUAUCAUAUAUCAUAAUAUGCACCCUUUUUUAUACCUGUGGUGAAAAAUCUCCCCCUGUAUUGGAGAAGAGCUAUUAUACAACAGUCAGUUGAUGAUGGACUGGUAUAGAGGUCCCCUCCCAGCUCUCAUUUUCUUUGCUUCUGGGAAAUGUUAUGGACAAGUCGGCAGCAACUCUCCCACGUCCUGUGAGCUCACCAGGUGCAGAUUAUGGGUCAUGCUGCAAGGAUGACACAUAGAACUAAGGCCACUGCACGACUGAGUGCAUGGAGUCCUGUGGCUCCCACACAAACAAAGAGACUGGGAUGAUACGGGCGUGGCAUGUUGUCCUCCACACAGAGAUCCCUUCUGCCUGCCUUUCUGAGAGCUUCCCUAUAAGAAACUGCACCCAGCGACAACUUGGCCUGGUAAGAACAGGUCUACCAGAUGUUGAAAGUAAAUCUGGUUUGUUCCCCAGAGGAUAAUAUCUAAUUAUCAUGCACACAUAUGCAAUAUAGAAAUUUGAAGUAUGGAAUUAUAUUUGGAGUUUUCUUCAUA